AAGAAAUAAAAAAUAAAGUUUCUAACUUUUAAAAAGAGCUUAAUGUUCAUAUUUCUA
rnacentral:tRNA from 1 species